GACGAACGCUGGCGGCGUGCUUAACACAUGCAAGUCGAACGGAAAGGCCCUGCUUUUGUGGGGUGCUCGAGUGGCGAACGGGUGAGUAACACGUGAGUAACCUGCCCUUGACUUUGGGAUAACUUCAGGAAACUGGGGCUAAUACCGGAUAGGAGCUCCUGCUGCAUGGUGGGGGUUGGAAAGUUUCGGCGGUUGGGGAUGGACUCGCGGCUUAUCAGCUUGUUGGUGGGGUAGUGGCUUACCAAGGCUUUGACGGGUAGCCGGCCUGAGAGGGUGACCGGCCACAUUGGGACUGAGAUACGACCCAGACUCCUACGGGAGGCAGCAGUGGGGAAUAUUGCACAAUGGGCGGAAGCAUGAUGCAGCAACGCCGCGUGCGGGAUGACGGCCUUCGGGUUGUAAACCGCUUUCGCCUGUGACGAAGCGUGAGUGACGGUAAUGGGUAAAGAAGCACCGGCUAACUACGUG
rnacentral:rRNA from 1 species